CCUCCAAACCUUUACAUCGUUAUCUAUUCUGCUUUGUUUUUCUUGGUCACUUGUCUUAUAAAAGAUAUUCCUGACGUAGAAGGUGAUACAAAGUAUAACAUUCGAACAUUUGCGGCAAAAUUCGGACCUAAAAAUGUUGCAUCCUUUGCAACAAGAAUUAUGCUGCUAGCUUAUGCCGGUGCUAUAGCAGCUACCAUUUACAUACCUCAGGCUUUCAAGGCAUACUUAAUGUUGCCUGCUCAUUCAAUCUUUGCCUUAUGGUUACUUUUUGAGGCCAAAAAGUUGGACAAAGCAAAUUAUGUCCCGGAAGCGGCUGGACGCUUUUAUGGAUUUCUUUGGAAGCUUCUUACGUUGGAGCUCCUCUUAUUUCCUUUUAUGUAGUAAAUUAGUUGCCAAUUAACUAUAAGUUUUCUCAUAUGGGGUGAGGGACAAAGUGAAUUGUGUGAGUAAUAUUGUUAAAAAAUAAUCACUUAUAUUUCUUUUAAUUUCAAAAAAUAGGCAUUCGAGACUACUUUUAGGAAUCUAAAUUUCAUAAAGAGAUAUGCGACCAAUGUGUUGUAAUUAAGCAAUAAUUGUGUUGUAAUUUAUUCUUUUAUUUUGAGAUGAUUUUAAUAAAAAAA